CAGUCGCCGCGGUAAAACGAAGGGGGCUAGCGUUGUUCGGAAUUACUGGGCGUAAAGGGCGCGUAGGCGGCCAUUCAAGUUAGAUGUGAAAGCCCUGGGCUCAACCUAGGAAUUGCAUUUGAUACUGUUUGGCUUGAGUUCGGGAGAGGUGAGUGGAAUUCCCAGUGUAGAGGUGAAAUUCGUAGAUAUUGGGAAGAACACCAGUGGCGAAGGCGGCUCACUGGACCGACACUGACGCUGAGGCGCGAAAGCGUGGGGAGCAAACAGGAUUAGAUACCCCAGUAGUCCCUGUCUCUUAUAC
rnacentral:rRNA from 1 species